GAAUCUAGCUUCAGGUUUGGGACAACCACUGGAAACGGUGGCUAAUUCCGAAUGUGCCGAGAGGUGAAAGGCUUGCUGCCUGAAGAUGAGCUCGCGUCUGAUUAGCUAGUAGGUGGGGUAAGAGCCUACCUAGGCGACGAUCAGUAGCUGGUCUGAGAGGAUGAUCAGCCACACUGGGACUGAGACACGGCCCAGACUCCUACGGGAGGCAGCAGUGGGGAAUUUUCCGCAAUGGGCGAAAGCCUGACGGAGCAAUACCGCGUGAGGGAGGAAGGCUCUUGGGUUGUAAACCUCUUUUCUCAGGGAAGAAGACAAUGACGGUACCUGAGGAAUCAGCAUCGGCUAACUCCGUGCCAGCAGCCGCGGUAAUACGGAGGAUGCAAGCGUUAUCCGGAAUGAUUGGGCGUAAAGCGUCCGCAGGUGGCUGUGUAAGUCUGCUGUCAAAGAGCGAAGCUCAACUUCGUAAAGGCAGUGGAAACUACACGGCUAGAGUGCGUUCGGGGCAGAGGGAAUUCCUGGUGUAGCGGUGAAAUGCGUAGAGAUCAGGAAGAACACCGGUGGCGAAGGCGCUCUGCUAGGCCGCAACU
rnacentral:rRNA from 1 species